rnacentral:rRNA from 1 species
CGAACAGGAUUAGAUACCCUGGUAGUCCACGCCGUAAACGAUGGAUACUAGCUGUUCGGAGCAAUCUGAGUGGCUAAGCGAAAGUGAUAAGUAUCCCACCUGGGGAGUACGCACGCAAGUGUGAAACUCAAAGGAAUUGACGGGGGCCCGCACAAGCGGAGGAGCAUGUGGUUUAAUUCGAUGAUACGCGAGGAACCUUACCAGGGCUUAAAUGGGAGACGACAGUUUGGGAAACCAGAUUUUCUUCGGACGUCUUUCAAGGUGCUGCAUGGUUGUCGUCAGCUCGUGCCGUGAGGUGUCAGGUUAAGUCCUAUAACGAGCGCAACCCCUAUUGUUAGUUGCCAGCGGGUCAUGCCGGGAACUCUAACAAGACUGCCGGUGCAAACCGUGAGGAAGGUGGGGAUGACGUCAAAUCAUCACGGCCCUUACGUCCUGGGCUACACACGUGCUACAAUGGACGGUACAGAGAGCAGCCACUGCGCAAGCAGGAGCGAAUCUUCAAAGCCGUUCUCAGUUCGGAUCGGAGUCUGCAACUCGACUCCGUGAAGCUGGAUUCGCUAGUAAUCGCAUAUCAGCCAUGAUGCGGUGAAUACGUUCCCGGGCCUUGUACACACCGCCCGUCAAGCCAUGGAAGCUGGGGGUACCUGAAGUCGGUGACCGCAAGGAGCUGCCUAGGGUAAAACUAGUAACUGGGGCUAAGUCGUAACAAGGUAGCCGUAAUCGAAUUCCC